rnacentral:rRNA from 1 species
UACAGAGGGGGCAAGCGUUGUUCGGAAUUACUGGGCGUAAAGGGCGCGUAGGCGGCCUGCUAAGUCGAACGUGAAAUCCCUGGGCUCAACCCAGGAACUGCGUCCGAUACUGGUUGGCUUGAAUCCGGGAGAGGGACGUGGAAUUCCAGGUGUAGCGGUGAAAUGCGUAGAUAUCUGGAGGAACACCGGUGGCGAAGGCGACGUCCUGGACCGGCAUUGACGCUGAGGCGCGAAAGCCAGGGGAGCAAACGUG